rnacentral:rRNA from 1 species
UUAUCCGGAAUUAUUGGGCGUAAAGGGCUCGUAGGCGGUUCGUCGCGUCCGGUGUGAAAGUCCAUCGCUUAACGGUGGAUCCGCGCCGGGUACGGGCGGGCUUGAGUGCGGUAGGGGAGACUGGAAUUCCCGGUGUAACGGUGGAAUGUGUAGAUAUCGGGAAGAACACCAAUGGCGAAGGCAGGUCUCUGGGCCGUUACUGACGCUGAGGAGCGAAAGCGUGGGGAGCGAACAGGAUUAGAUACCCUGGUAAUCCACGCCGUAAACGGUGGAUGCUGGAUGUGGGGCCCGUUCCACGGGUUCCGUGUCGGAGCUAACCCGUUAAGCCUCCCGCCUGGGGAGUACGGCCCAAGGCUUAAACUCAAGAAAUUGACGGGGGCC